rnacentral:rRNA from 1 species
GACAGAGGGUGCGAACGUUGUUCGGAAUUACUGGGCGUAAAGCGCGUGUAGGCGGCAACGCAAGUCGGGCGUGAAAUCCCACGGCUCAACCGUGGAAGUGCACUCGAAACUGCGUAGCUAGAGUCCUGGAGAGGAAGGUGGAAUGCUUGGUGUAGAGGUGAAAUUCGUAGAUAUCAAGCGGAACACCGGUGGCGAAGGCGGCCUUCUGGACCGGCAUUGACGCUGAGGCGCGAAAGCCAGGGGAGCAAACGGG